rnacentral:rRNA from 1 species
GACGAACGCCGGCGGCGUGCUUAACACAUGCAAGUCGAACGGUAAGGCCCUUCGGGGUACACGAGUGGCGAACGGGUGAGUAACACGUGGGUGAUCUGCCCUGCACUUCGGGAUAAGCCUGGGAAACUGGGUCUAAUACCGGAUAGGACCACUGCCUGCAUGGGUGGUGGUGGAAAGCUUUUGCGGUGUGGGAUGGGCCCGCGGCCUAUCAGCUUGUUGGUGGGGUGAUGGCCUACCAAGGCGACAACGGGUAGCCGGCCUGAGAGGGUGUCCGGCCACACUGGGACUGAGAUACGGCCCAGACUCCUACGGGAGGCAGCAGUGGGGAAUUUUCCACAAUGGGCGCAAGCCUGAUGCAGCGACGCCGCGUGAGGGAUGACGGCCUUCGGGUUGUAAACCUCUUUCAGCACCGACGAAGCGCAAGUGACGGUAGGUGCAGAAGAAGGACCGGCCAACUACGUGCCAGCCGCCGCCGUAA